rnacentral:rRNA from 1 species
UACAGAGGGUGCAGGCGUUGCUCGGAAUUAUUGGGCGUAAAGCGCGCGCAGGCGGUCCUUUAAGUCUGAUGUGAAAGCCCACGGCUCAACCGUGGAGGGUCAUUGGAAACUGGGGGGCUUGAGUGCAGGAGAGAAGAGUGGAAUUCCACGUGUAGCGGUGAAAUGCGUAGAGAUGUGGAGGAACACCAGUGGCGAAGGCGGCUCACUGGCCCGGUACUGACGCUGAGGUGCGAAAGCGUGGGGAGCAAACAGG